rnacentral:rRNA from 1 species
CCUACGGGUGGCAGCAGUGAGGAAUAUUGGUCAAUGGCCGGAAGGCUGAACCAGCCAUGCCGCGUGAAGGUCAGUGCCCUAUGGGCGUUAAACUUCUUUUGUGCGGGAGCAAUAAUGGUCACGUGUGGCCAGACGAGAGUACCGUACGAAUAAGCAUCGGCUAACUCCGUGCCAGCAGCCGCGGUAAUACGGGGGGUGCGAGCGUUAGCCGGAUUUAUUGGGUUUGAAGGGUGCGUGGGCUGUGAGGUAAGUCAGCGGUGAAAUGCCCCCGGUCAACGGGGUGAAGUGCAAUUGAUACUGCCUUGCUGGAAUGCGGAUGAAGUAGGAGGAAUGUGUGGUGUAGCGGUGAAAUGCAUAGAUAUCACACAGAACACCGAUUGCGAAGGCAUCUCGCGAAUCCGCGAUUGACGCUGAUGCACGAAAGCGUGGGUAUCAAACAGGAUUAGAUACCCGGGUAGUA